rnacentral:rRNA from 1 species
UACGGAGGGUGCAAGCGUUGUCCGGAUUUAUUGGGUUUAAAGGGUGCGUAGGCGGCCCUGUAAGUCAGUGGUGAAAUACUGCAGCUUAACUGUAGCAUUGCCAUUGAUACUGCAGGGGCUUUGAGUACAGAUGAGGUAGGCGGAAUUGAUGGUGUAGCGGUGAAAAUGCAUAGAUACCAUCAAGAACACCGAUUGCGAAAGGCAGCUUACUAAGCUGUAACUGACGCUGAGGCACGAAAAGCGUGGGGGAUCGAAACAGG